GAGCGCGGCGGCGGCGGCGGCGAGACCACCCUCCGCUUCCUUCCUUUCCUUCCGCCCGCGCCGCCGCCUCGGUCACCGCCCCGGCGCCGGAACCGCCGCCGCGUCAUCACCCUCAGCCCUCACCCCUCAGCCUCCAGCCUUCAGCCUGCCACGCCUCGGCCCCCACCCCAGACUUUUCAUCCCUAAGAUGUCCUCAGAAUGUUAAUGCCAUCACCUCCAUUGGGGCAUAUCAAGUUCUGCAGUAUGAAAAGUUAAAUGUGUUAAGUAAAAAUCAAGGUUCCUGUGAACGUCUCAAGUAGUGUGGCCUUGAGAGUAAAGAAAAUGAAGACAAUCCAGACAGACCGAGAAUUUAAGAACAGUGGUGCUGACUGGGGAGAAGUGCCUGGAGUUACAGGUAAAUUUACAUCACUGUUACCACUCAAACCCCACACUUACAUUCCAAUUAAUGCUCAAACACUCCCAGUCGGAAAGCCACUUCUGGAUCACCUCUGCCUGCAGUUUAGUGUGGUAAACCAGGUGAACUGCCUUUUGUUAUACUUAUCCAUCAUAAAUGCCACUUGGAAAUAGCCCUAUA